AGCAGCCGCGGUAAUUCCAGCUCCAAUAGCGUAUAUUAAAGUUGUUGCAGUUAAAAAGCUCGUAGUUGAAUUUCGGGGUCAGUAGGUUGGUCAUGCCACAGGUAUGUACUGGUCUCACUGAUUCCUCCUUCCUGAUGAACUGUAAUGCCAUUAAUUUGGUGUUGCAGGGAAUCUGGACUGUUACUUUGAAAAAUUAGAGUGUUUAAAGCAGGCUAACGCCUGAAUACAUUAGCAUGGAAUAAUGAAAUAGGACGUUCGAUCCUAUUUUGUUGGUUUCUAGGAUUGACGUAAUGAUUAAUAGGGAUAGUUGGGGGCAUUAGUAUUCAAUUGUCAGAGGUGAAAUUCUUGGAUUUAUUGAAGACUAACUACUGCGAAAGCAUUUGCCAAGGAUGUUUUCAUUAAUCAAGAACGAAAGUUAGGGGAUCGAAGACGAUCAGAUACCGUCGUAGU
rnacentral:rRNA from 1 species